GACGUCACAUUGUCGCGAAAGAUUUGUUGUCACCAGCCAUCUUAGUUCAAACUCACUCUGGAUAUAUUACAACCAAGUGAUUGUGCAGCAACGGGAACUGGACAGAUGAUCUGUGAAUUCGGAUAAGCAAGGGGGAAAAUGUUACACGACCAUUCCAGGAGAUAAAAUCAAGAAUGUUGAAUCAUUGAGGAACACACCAAAUAAACCGUGGGCUGUGAAUUAUGUUAACGGAAGUGGAAGUGAACACCAAAGAAAGAAGAUUCUGGCAUUCAAUAAUUUCGAAAAGUGUAUACAUUUUCUAUAAUCUAAAAAUAAUAAA
rnacentral:lncRNA from 1 species